GGGGCUGUAGCUCAGCUGGGAGAGCGCCUGGAUCGCACCCAGGAGGUCAGGGGUUCGAGCCCCCUCAGCUCCAUCA
rnacentral:tRNA from 1 species